rnacentral:pre_miRNA from 15 species
CCACUCGAUGGCUCAGGUACUUAGUGACUCUCAAUGCUUUUGACAUUUUGGGGGUCACUCUGUGCCUGUGCUGCCAGUGGGAC